rnacentral:rRNA from 1 species
AUUGAACGCUGGCGGCAUGCUUUACACAUGCAAGUCGAACGGUAACAGGCCGCAAGGUGCUGACGAGUGGCGAACGGGUGAGUAAUGCAUCGGAACGUGCCCAGUCGUGGGGGAUAACGCAGCGAAAGCUGCGCUAAUACCGCAUACGAUCUGUGGAUGAAAGCGGGGGACCUUCGGGCCUCGCGCGAUUGGAGCGGCCGAUGUCAGAUUAGGUAGUUGGUGGGGUAAAGGCUCACCAAGCCGACGAUCUGUAGCUGGUCUGAGAGGACGACCAGCCACACUGGGACUGAGACACGGCCCAGACUACUACGGGAGGCAGCAGUGGGGAAUUUUGGACAAUGGGGCAACCCUGAUCCAGCAAUGCCGCGUGCAGGAAGAAGGCCUUCGGGUCGUAAACUGCUUUUGUACGGAACGAAAAGGCUCUGGUUAAUACCUGGGGCACAUGACGGUACCGUAAGAAUAAGCACCGGCUAACUACGUGCCAGCAGCCGCUGUAAAAC